CUACAGUGCCCAUUCCAACUCAGAGAAUCUUUACAUCUGGAGAUCUAUAGCAGGGCUAUCCCUAGUGACAUGCGUGAAGAAGCUUGGAAAUGGUGCUGGGUAGGAGCUGAGUGUGCAGAAUGUGGAAAGGCAUUCUAAACCAAAGGAAGAACACGAGUAAAGAUGAUGAAGCAGGGAUAAGGCUAAAAUGAAAUUUGUGAUCUGAUCCACAUACAAGCACAGUGUAGUACAGCUGGAAUAUAGAGAAGAGCUUGAAGACUUAUGAGCAACUAUCCCGGUACUCUUGGAGGCUCUGCAACCACAGUUUGAGAAACUCCGCGUUCAAAGUUAAAAACUGUCACCUGAAUAGUUAAUAACAUCAAAGAUUGUGAAAGCAAGUAUAAAUAACACAGAGAUUAAAAUAAUGAGGCAGGAUCAGAAAAUGUCCAUUGCAAUCAGAAGCUCACCGAAUGUGCUUAGCUGAGUGGAGAAUGAUUUCUCGGUGUUGUAUUUGCUCUGAAGAGUCUGAAUUCUUGGGGAGGCAGAAGCUGGAAGUGAGUGAGUCAGAGCUCAGAUGGGAAGUCAGAGGCCUGCAGCUGGG
ensembl:lncRNA LINC02028 long intergenic non-protein coding RNA 2028